rnacentral:rRNA from 1 species
GUCCACGCCGUAAACGAUGGGCGCUAGGUGUAGGCGGUGUCGACUCCGUCUGUGCCGAAGCUAACGCAUUAAGCGCCCCGCCUGGGGAGUACGGCCGCAAGGCUAAAACUCAAAGGAAUUGACGGGGACCCGCACAAGCAGCGGAGCAUGUGGUUUAAUUCGACGCAACGCGAAGAACCUUACCUGGGCUUGACAUGUACCGGAAAGCCGUGGAAACACGGCCCCCUUCGGGUCGGUACACAGGUGGUGCAUGGCUGUCGU